rnacentral:rRNA from 1 species
GAUGAACGCUGGCGGCGUGCCUAAUACAUGCAAGUCGAACGCAUUGUGGUUGAAAUGAUAUGAAGAACUUGUUCAGAUUUGAUUUUCAACAUUGCAAUGAGUGGCGAACGGGUGAGUAACACGUGGGAAACCUACCUCUUAGCAGGGGAUAACAUUUGGAAACAAAUGCUAAUACCGUAUAAUAAUUAAAACCGCAUGGUUUUAGUUUAAAAGAUGGUCUUGCUAUCACUAAGAGAUGGUCCCGCGGGUGUAUUAGUUAGUCGGUGAGGUAAUGGCUCACCAAGACAAUGAUACAUAGCCGAGUUGAGAGACUGACCGGCCACAAUGGGACUGAGACACGGCCCAUACUCCUACGGGA